CUUAGGUGGCUUGGAAAAAAUAAACAUUGAAUUUUGUUUUCGCAGAGAACCGCAGAUGGGGAAGACAAAUGCAUCUUUCUUUAUGAAAAUACCCAGAUGCAAACUUGCUAGAGUACAACUACAGAAGCUGUAUGUAUGUGUGUAGAGGACAAAGUUUUCCUCUCGUAUUCUUCUGCUGCUGGUUCUUCUAUUUCAACACUGACCUGAGGAGAAGCUCCAAGGUAUGAAAGGGUUAUUAUACGACCGGACACCUUGGGUCACCUGGGGUAAAUUACCAUUGCCUCUUAGUUAAGUCCUCGUGUUCUGGUGAAAUCAGUGGAGCUUGUUUUCACUGGUGCAGUAUCUGAGACAUCAAGUUUAAUGAAUCGUUACAAAUGAUUUAAUCUGCACUUGCAGGUGCUAUUAAAACUUUUUUUUUCUUUUCUGCCAAGACCUUUUUUUUCUUUUUUACCUAGGAAAAGCAAUCUUUCU